CCAAGGUAUACCUCUAGUCUGGUUGUUCCUGAAAUUACUGGAAGAGGGCAAGUAUUUCUUCCAUUCCUGGGAGAGUAUUCACCAUUCCAAAUGGUAAUUGUGUACGAGUCUGCGGAUUCUUUCUCAGUGGUGAGGCAUUCUCACUGUGGUCACAUUACCCACAACCUGGCAAGCCUGAACAACUAGGGCAUGAUGCAAUAAACAUUAUUCAAGAGCAUGAAGAGCUUGCGGUUUAAAGAAGGGAGCAAUCACAUUAGGGGAUGUCAACGGAUGCCGUAUGAGGAAGAAACCACUGCAAAGUGCGUGGAACAGCAGGAUUUCACCAGGUCCAGAUGGAAUGAGCGGAUUCCGAAUAAGACACAGCCUGCGCAAAGGCAUGAAAGCAGACACGCACAGCACAUGCUUCAGGAAGAGGAAGUACGCCAGUCUGGCCAGACCAGAUACAAACUAAGAAAGCAGCAUGAAAUACAAAAUAAGAUUAGGACUCCAGUCCCACCCACCACGGAAC